rnacentral:lncRNA from 1 species
GGGGGGUGUGCUUAGCUUUCCAUGGGGCGGCAUUAGUAAUUGAAUUUCCCCACAUGUAAAACUCAUUUGUCACGUGCUUCACAAGGCUUUCUAGAAGCCAAGCAUCUUUAACACAUGAUGAAUUAGUGGAUCUAAGAAUUCCUUUGGUGAGGCCGAGAGAUUCAACUAUAAAUUCUCUUGACCUAGCUUGUAUGAACACUUUUGGAUGAUAGUAAGAAAUCUGUCAACACCCAAUUUCGUCCGGGCGACUAAAUAAUAGGACUUGUUUUUGUUUUAUUUUAUUUUC